AUUGACGGGGGCCCGCACAAGCGGUGGAGCAUGUGGUUUAAUUCGAAGCAACGCGAAGAACCUUACCAGGUCUUGACAUCCUUUGACCACUCUAGAGAUAGAGCUUCCCCUUCGGGGGCAAAGUGACAGGUGGUGCAUGGUUGUCGUCAGCUCGUGUCGUGAGAUGUUGGGUUAAGUCCCGCAACGAGCGCAACCCUUAUUGUUAGUUGCCAUCAUUUAGUUGGGCACUCUAGCGAGACUGCCGGUGACAAACCGGAGGAAGGUGGGGAUGACGUCAAAUCAUCAUGCCCCUUAUGACCUGGGCUACACACGUGCUACAAUGGGAAGUACAACGAGUUGCGAAGUCGCGAGGCUAAGCUAAUCUCUUAAAGCUUCUCUCAGUUCGGAUUGUAGGCUGCAACUCGCCUACAUGAAGCCGGAAUCGCUAGUAAUCGCGGAUCAGCACGCCGCGGUGAAUACGUUCCCGGGCCUUGUACACACCGCCCGUCACACCACGAGAGUUUGUAACACCCGAAGUCGGUGAGGUAACCUUUUUGGAGCCAGCCGCCUAAGGUGGGAUAGAUGAUUGGGGUGAAGUCGUAACAAGGUAGCCGUAUCGGAAGGUGCGGCUGGAUCACCUCCUUUCUAAGGAA
rnacentral:rRNA from 1 species